rnacentral:misc_RNA from 1 species
CAAAAAACAGGGGGAGGUCCUUGUACUACGGGCCUCACCUCCCUUCGUGCACACACUUAUUAUUUACCUUCAUUCUUCCCUCUAUACACACAUUGCUGAUGUAAAAUUUCCCAUGCAACUUCCUUGAGAAAAUUCUUGUAGAAAAUGUAGAAAACUUGCUUGUAAAGAGUACGGAUUUAGAUUUCAUAUCAGGAAAAUGAUUCAGUGUCAGCAUGAUUGUGUAAAUACCUAGAUCCUUAGGGUUUUAUUGUACUUUAGAUGCUAAAUGGCACAGAUAUACACAGUAAUAUACGCUAUUUGAUAUGUGGU